rnacentral:lncRNA from 1 species
UUCCAUGAAGAACAUGGUCAUACGACAGAAGAAUGUCAGCAACUAAAAGAUGAGAUUGAGAGGCUGAUAAGAGACGACACUCUUCAAAAAUUCAAAAGGAAGAGUAAGGAAGAGAGGAGACCUGAGCUCGAGGAACCAAACCUCGAAAUAGCCCCUAAUCGAGAACCUAUAGGGAUCAUACAUGUAAUAACGGAAAGACCUAGGGAUGGUCAGAGAAAGUAAAUAGACUGCAAAUAUAAUUAUCGAACUGCAAUAAGGAACGAUAAGAUUGCCUUCCUAAAAAAAAAAA